GUUUAAGUUAUAGUAAACGAGCAUUAUUUAAUAACACAAAAGAGUAUUGUUGUACAUAGAAAAAAACCGAAAAAAUUGCUAACAGUCUUAUUUUAUUCAAUUUGCCAAAUAAACAGAACAUUUACAUACUUCAAAUGUUGUAAAUUUCGCACUGCAACUAGUAUUCAAAUCUCAACCUGGAAAAACGAUAUAACGAAAUUGAAAUAUACUUCAGACUGUAGCAUCAUCUACUGUACACGAGGCAAACUUAAGUCAUAGUAUGUGUAAAAUAAGUUAACAAUUCCAUUCCAAAGCUGCAACAUUUAACAUAUACCCUAAUAAACUCUGCCGUCCCGAUUACCGAGCUUUCUCAAGAAUUUUGUAAUCCUUCAUUGAAGCACCUUUUUUUUUCAUAU